rnacentral:rRNA from 1 species
GAUGAACGCUGGCGGCGUGCCUAAUACAUGCCAGUCGAGCGAACGGACGAGAAGCUUGCUUCUCUGAUGUUAGCGGCGGACGGGUGAGUAACACGUGGAUAACCUACCUAUAAGACUGGGAUAACUUCGGGAAACCGGAGCUAAUACCGGAUGAUAUUCUGAACCGCAUGGUUCAAAAGUGAAAGACGGUCUUUCUGUCACUUAUAGAUGGAUCCUCGCUGCAUUAGCUAGUUGGUAAGGUAACGGCUUACCACGGCAACGAUGCAUAGCCGACCUGAGAGGGUGAUAGGCCACACGGGAGCUGAGACACGGUCCAGACUACUACGGGAGGCAGCAGAAGGGAAUCGUCCGCAAUGGGCGAAAGCAUGACGGAGCAACGCCGCGUGAGUGAUGAAGGUCUUCGGAGCGUAAAACUCUGUUAUUAGGGAAGAACAUAUGUGUAAGUAACUGUGCACAUCUUGACGGUACCUAAUCAGAAAGCCACGGCUAACUACGUG